UCUUGGUCAUUUAGAGGAAGUAAAAGUCGUAACAAGGUUUCCGUAGGUGAACCUGCGGAAGGAUCAUUAUCGAUUAAGAAUGGUUGCCCUCUGUGCUGGCCCCCCCGGGCAGGUGCACGUUGGUGACUUUCAUCCAACCCCUUGUGCACCUUUGGCCUCUUGUUGGCUUUGGCUGGCAGAGGAUUUUGACACACACACACUAGAAUGUAACGAUAGACCACUCAGUGCGCGAGCACUGCUAAUGUACAACUUUCAACAACGGAUCUCUUGGCUCUCGCAUCGAUGAAGAACGCAGCGAAAUGCGAUAAGUAAUGUGAAUUGCAGAAUUCAGUGAAUCAUCGAAUCUUUGAACGCACCUUGCACCCUUUGGCAUUCCGAAGGGUAUGCUCGUUUGAGUGUCAUUGUAAUCUCACACUCUCCGAUUCGGGCUCGGAUUGGGAGUGGUGGACUUGGGUGUUGCUGCUUCACGGUGGCCCGCCUCAAAUGCAUUAGUGCAACUCUGAGUUGGACAUAGUACGGCGUGAUAAGUAUCUUCGCCGGCACCUCGUAAUAAGAGGGUGGCUAAUUUGGAGCGCUGUGCUUCUAAUGGUCUUCGGACAAUCUCUGACAACUUGACCUCAAAUCGAGUAGGACUACCCGCUGAACUUAAGCAUAUCAAUAAGCGGAGGAA
rnacentral:rRNA from 1 species